rnacentral:misc_RNA from 1 species
UUUCCGUAGGUGAACCUGCGGAAGGAUCAUUAUCGAAAAGCAAUCCGGGGGGGCGGCCUCCGAGCGAGGUUUGGUAGCUCGCAGGGAUUGUCGCUGGCCUUUGGCAACGAAGGCAUGUGCACGUUCCGAGUUCUCCUUAGUCCUCCUUUUCCUUUCCUUUGGAAGACCCUUUCUUCACACCCGUGCACAAAUUGUAGGUCUCCGUGAGGGUUUCUAUGUCUGCACAAAACUCUACGUAUGUCCAGGAAUGUAUCUAACGCGUCGAACGGCUCGGCUACAUGCCCGGUCGAGGACGGUAAAGAACCAUAAUACAACUUUCAGCAACGGAUCUCUUGGCUCUC